UGAUAUUUUAAAAUAUAUGUUUUCUUGUCUUCUCUUCUAGAAUCCAUUUUCCAUGUGAGUAGGAAUUAUCAAACAAAACUGCACUGGACAAGUUGUACAGAUUUUCUGUACCAUGCAACAGAAAAAGGACCCAGCCUCUAUUGUUGUCACCUGCAAGGUUAUUGCUGUUCACAACACCAUGACUUCAUUUCACCACAUGGGAAGAAUGAAAGACGUGUAAGGCAAGUGAUUUUCUUACACAAAAACAUGAUAUGGAAAUUGUGAGCACUGCAUAA
rnacentral:lncRNA from 1 species